UACGUAGGGCGCAAGCGUUGUCCGGAAUUAUUGGGCGUAAAGAGCUCGUAGGCGGUUUGUCGCGUCGACUGUGAAAACCCGAGGCUUAACCUCGGGCCUGCAGUCGAUACGGGCAGACUAGAGUUCGGUAGGGGAGACUGGAAUUCCUGGUGUAGCGGUGAAAUGCGUAGAUAUCGUGAGGAAGACCGGUGGCGAAGGCGGAUCUCUGGACAGUUCCUGACGCUGAGGCGCGAAGGCCAGGGGAGCAAACGGG
rnacentral:rRNA from 1 species